rnacentral:rRNA from 1 species
UACGUAGGGGGCAAGCGUUGUCCGGAUUUAUUGGGCGUAAAGAGCGUGUAGGCGGCUUUGCAAGUCCGUUGUGAAAACUCGAGGCUCAACCUCGAGACGCCGGUUGAAACCAUCUGGCUAGAGUCCGGAAGAGGAGAGUGGAAUUCCUGGUGUAGCGGUGAAAUGCGCAGAUAUCAGGAAGAACACCCGUGGCUAAGGCGGCUCUCUAGUACGGUACUGACGCUGAGACGCGAAAGCGUGGGGAGCGAACAGG